rnacentral:lncRNA from 1 species
GAGGGGGGUGGACCAUAGGCAUUUGUGAUUAUUCAUAUUGUGACAAAUAUUUUGGGGUUUUUUUGUUUGUUUGUGUAAGAAAUUCAGAUCAGUUCUUGAUGGAAAAGUCAAACCUUUCUACAAGAUGUUGAGAUUGAGUUGAAGACCCAAACAAGCACUGACAGACUGGUGGCUGCUUCUGUGUUCUGGACUGAGGGUCUAUGAUAGACAACAGGGGAAGCUUUCAUGACCUUCUCUACCUUGCUGUCAGAGGAUCCACAUCACAUCAGAUAGAGGAGGAAAAAGCAAGGUCACUCAUAGCGAAGCUGCUCAAAGGAGAAGAGGAAAGGACGGAGGAAGGAAGAGAUCAACAUGUUUCAGUCAAAUCCUUAGAAGCUUUUCAUUGUUGACAAGAGGUAGCAAAUCAUGGUGGCCAGGUAUGUGGACUCUGGAGCCAGUCUGUUGGAUUCAGAAUACUGUCUCUUCCAUUUACUAGUGGCAUGACUAUGGACAAGCCACUUAACUUCUCUGCACCUCAAUUUCCUUGCCUAUAAAAUGGGAAAAUAAUAUAUUAAGUUCUUCAUAGGGUUGUUGACAGGAUGAGGUGAGUUAACAUGUGGAUAAAACCUACAAUAUUAAGAGUAACUAUACUGCAGUUAGUUGUCACUAUUAUCUCUAGAGAAAAAUUCUACCUUAGUCAAUCAUCAAAAGUGCGGCCUGAGAUCCAUGGGUCUCAUUAUAAAGGGCUAACUUUCGGCUACACAGUGGUAGACCUUUUCCUCUAAUCAGCUUUUCCUCAGAAUUGGAAACGCUCCUGAGAUCAUUUUCAAGUAGCCAUUACCUAAUGCCAGCUUACUGCAUAAUCAUUUGAGGUUAACUUAUGUGUCAACAAACAGGGUAUGCAGAAAAUAAUGAAUAAGGAGGAUUCAGAAUCAAAUUUCUUACAGUAACAUUAUUACAUUCUACAGACAUUCAUUUUUAUCUAACUCUACAUCCAAUAGCAUAAAAAAUAAAACCAAUAUUUAAAAUAGACA